UGGGUAAUGACUCACACAGUGAGAUAACCAC
rnacentral:piRNA from 1 species